ensembl:lncRNA
GCCUUACUUUUAAAAUGCCAUUGCUUGAGAAACAAGAAAACGGCGAGCAAGUGCUGGUGAAAAAUGAAACCUAUCUUCAAAUUUUAAAAAACAAAGAUCAACGGAGGAGACUUGUACAUGAAAUCUGCACCUUUUUGGACAGCAGCCAGUCUGUAAGUACUAUAACUCAUGAAACAAAACUUGUAGCUUCAUGAAAAUUGGUGUUUUUAUACUGAUCAAUUCCUCAGCUUGUCUUCAUUUCAUUUGUAUCUCCUUUUCUCUGUGAAGUAGGGACAAGGUGGAGAAACCUUAGCCCAAUGACUCAUUUAUUAAAUUAAUCCAUGCAGUUUGUUCAUAAGUACACCAUGACAGCAGAAAUGAAUUCUUUAAAAGUCUUUUAAUACUGCCCAUACGUCAGGGCUGUGCCAUCUUGAGAUCCAUCUCAAAGUGAUUUUUGGGGGGUUGUCUGGCCCACAGACGUUAAGCGUCAGUGAAGCAUAAUACCACACAGCCACUAUGAUGUGGGCAAUCCUGUGUACAUAAGCAUUUUGCUUACGUAAGUGCUGAUCACCACUACAAAUGCUCAGGUUAUGCUAGUGCACAGGGGUUCUGAAUGCCUCCUUAUGCAAUCUCCUUAAAAAUGAUACCACUGCGACUGCGGGUCCACUCCCACAUGGGGAAGUGUGUCAGAUACUGUGCAAUUAAGUGACGGCUUUGGACAUCUGAUAAUACUUGACAUUAGCUUCAAGGUGUAAGGAACAACAAAUAGAUUUUGUUUCUUUAUGGUUUGUUUAGGUGCAGGAGAUUGAUGCCCUGAGAACGGAAAACAGGAAGCUCAGAUUUUGUUUCUUUAUUUAUGGUUUGUUUAGGUGCAGGAGAUUGAUGCCCUGAGAACGGAAAACAGGAAGCUAAAAAAUGCGAACUCAAGACUGCGUUAUAAAACAAAAGAUUGGGCCCUCAAGAAAGAAGAAUAUGAAAACGAGAUUGAAAGACUUUCGGGUGAGAUAUCUAAUUAUUUGAAUGUCACCAAUUUCUGGUAUGAAGAGUCUGAACUUCUCAACAACCAAGUUACAGAUAAACGAACCUUAAGUGAACAAAGAAAACAUGUCAGCACUCAGACGGAGGCUAUGUUUGGAAUGGAGAAGCGGACUGUUGAAACUCAGACUGGAGAAGAUUUCUCAAGCUAUGUUCUUGAAGAGUCAUUAUCACAGGUAAGUAAGAUAUAUGGAUCAGACAGUAGGCAAGUAGCUGCUGUACAUAUGCUAUUAUGUUCUCUCAUUCCUGAGCCUCAUCAACUAAUUUGGAAAUAAAAUGUUUUUUGGCUUUGUUUUUAAAUCCGAACACUUAAUAUUUGUUCAAAGCAGAACUCCUUUUUAGUGUACAAUAGAUGCUUAGUGCUGUAUAGAUUAUUGUUGCUCAGAAUGUUUUUAAAAAUAUAUGUUUAAUAUUAUCUUUACAGGAUGAGUUUGAGUAGCAGAAAUCCCGCAUAACCUGAGAAAUGGGGAGCUUUUAUGGUUAAUAUUUUAAAUUUUAUUGAACAUAUUAACAUAUUUAUAGCUAUUUAACUCUAUGACAAAUAAAGAUAUUUUAAUUCUGCUGUGUUUUGAUUAG